UACGGAGGGUGCGAGUGUUAUUCGGAAUCACUGGGCGUAAAGAGCACGUAGGCGGAUAGGCAAGUCAGAUGUGAAAGCCCGGAGCUUAACUUCGGAAUUGCAUUUGAUACUGCUUGUCUUGAGUAUGGUAGAGGGGGGUGGAAUUCCCGGUGUAGAGGUGAAAUUCGUAGAUAUCGGGAGGAACACCAGAGGCGAAGGCGACCCCCUGGGCCAUCACUGACGCUGAGGUGCGAAAGCGUGGGGAG
rnacentral:rRNA from 1 species